UCCUUAUAUAAAAGAAAUAAACUUUUCGCUUUAAGAUGCUCCUAAUAUANCCAAGUAAGUAGUAGUUAAGGUAAUGGCUUAACUAGCUUAAGCUUGUAGUCAUAACUGAGAGGUUUAUUGACCACAUUGGGCCUGAAAAAAUCCCAAUACGUGUAGUACAGCAGUGAGGAAUAUUGGUCAAUGGCCUAAUGGCUGAACCAGCAAUUUGGGGGAAUGUAUGAUGUAAAUCAGUAUAUACAUACUAAGGGUAUGUAUAUAUAUUGACUAUGUCAAAUAAAGUUCUAGAUAGAUAACUGAUAAUGACAAAUUUCUAUCUAUAUGUCUUGACCAAGUCUUGUGCCAGCAGUCGCGGCAAUACAAGGAAGACUAGUGUUAUUCAUCUUUAUUAGGUUUAAAGGGUACCUAGACGGUAGGUUUAGCCUCAAAAAGGUACAGAUUUACUAGAGUUUUAUGGGAGAGGCAUAUAUUAGGGCUAUUGGUGUAGNGAUGAAAUUCUUUGAUACUGAUGGAACGGAUAACGGCGAAGGCAACCCUCUAUGUAUAAACUGACGUUAAGGGACGAAGGCUCGGGGAGCGAAUAGGAUUAGAUACCCUAGUAGUCCGGGCAGAAAAUUAUGAAUGUUAUAGAUUAAAUGUAAAGUUGGUGUAUAAAUGAAAGUGUAAGCAUUCCACCUCAAGAGUAAUGUGGCAACACAGGAACUGAAAUCAUUAGACCGUUUCUGAAACCAGUAGUGAAGUAUGUUAUUUAAUUCGAUGACCCUCGAAAAACCUUACCACAAUUUGAAUGGUAUUUAAAAAGAUAGUUUUUUUUGGAUAUGACAAGCGUUGCACGGCUGUCUUCAGUUAAUGUCGUGAGAUUUUGGUUAGAUCCAUUAAAUUAACGUAAACCCUUGCUUUAUUUAUUAUUGUUUUCCUGAUGAAUUUGAAGGCGGAACCAACCAUUUCUCUUUCUUAUUAGUA
rnacentral:rRNA from 1 species